rnacentral:rRNA from 1 species
AUUGAACGCUGGCGGCAUGCCUUACACAUGCAAGUCGAACGGCAGCGGACCUUCGGGUGCCGGCGAGUGGCGAACGGGUGAGUAAUGCAUCGGAACGUGCCAUUGAGUGGGGGAUAACGUAGCGAAAGUUACGCUAAUACCGCAUAUUCUGUGAGCAGGAAAGCAGGGGACCGCAAGGCCUUGCGCUCUUUGAGCGGCCGAUGUCAGAUUAGCUAGUUGGUGAGGUAAAGGCUUACCAAGGCGACGAUCUGUAGCGGGUCUGAGAGGAUGAUCCGCCAUACUGGAACUGAGACACGGUCCAGACUCCUACGGGAGGCAGCAGUGGGGAAUUUUGGACAAUGGGCGCAAGCCUGAUCCAGCCAUGCCGCGUGAGUGAAGAAGGCCU